CAUACUAUCACUAUAAUUAAACUUUUUAAUAACUGGGCACACUAAGAUCGCAUCAGACUGGUGCUUUGGGUUGUUCAAACAGAAAUUUCUCAGAACAUAUGUAGAUACCCUAGAGGAUAUUAAAAAACUGUGGAAGACAGCACAGUGUCUGGAAUUAAUAGAGCCCAGCUAGUUGGCGAUGAAAAGGGUAAUGUGAUGGUGCCAUCCUAUGAUUGGCACACCUACCUCGAGGAUUUUUUCAAGCCACUCCCUGGAAUCAACACUUUACGCCGAUUGAGGUUUGACAGCAGAAAUCCUGGCAAGGUGUUCACCAUAGAUAGACUGUCAUAAGGGAAUUCCUUUUUAGAGAUGCCUUGUCAUUUGAUGAUAUAGUUGGACUGUUAAUAUAUACAAGCUGAUUUAUCUAUCAAAAGUUUGUUUCAAAUACCUCUCAAAAGAUUUUAAUCUAAAAAUAACUACCUCAAAUGGCCCAAGUGGUGAAAGUCUAUAAAGUGCCUGCCCUUUGUGCAAGUUGUGACUGUGUCCCACAUGACUUGAUCAACUUAGAACACAAUUUUACUUUUAGGGGGUAGGCCUGUGAUUGUUCACUGUCCAUUUUGAUCAUACUCAUUGUGAAAUAUGGAUACUGAUAAACAGUUUUUAAACUCUUCUUGAAUAAUGCAUAUUUUUUCUAUCUUUCUAUGAUGUCAGAGAGGGGUGGGGGGUGAAUGGUUAACAUCUAUGCAUUUUAUCAUAAGGUCUGUCAAUGAGUCAAGUGACAGGGUUUCGCUUCCUUGCUUGUAAGUGACAAGGAGUAGGGUUGCCUGUCCAACCUCUUGGGUUAGUAGAAGCUGUACAAAGAGGUAAAGAAUUACAGAAAUUAAAGAAAUUAGUUUAUAAUGGUUGGCCAGAAAGACGAAAUCAGCUUGAUCCUGAAGUAAGACGUUACUUUGAUUCGAAAAAUGAAAUUGGUGUGGUUGAAGGUAUUCUGUUUAAAGGUGAUAGAGUUAUAAUUCCAGCUAGUAUGAGAUAAGAGAUGUUAAAAAUAAUUCAUGAAAGUCAUCUUGACAAAUCGGCCCCGUUUGUCGCGAUGCAGGAGAGCCAUCACGUAGUGAUCUCUAAAACUAUUAUGGCCACUUCCGCCUUCAUUUCUAUCGGGUUUGGAGCUCAAAGUACGGCAAUAAACUCACACUAACUUGACUGAAUGAAAAAUCUAACAUACCUUUCGACUUUGUGGAAUAACAAUCUAUAAUUCUACUGAUCUUUUUUUUGAAAAUCUUAUCGGAUUCCUGAGAACAGAUGUAGGCCUAUUUUCUUCAUGAUCACCAUCAAAACAUUGAAGAAUCCAUUAUGUCGUAAAUUUUAUGUUAAUUAGAUUGCCAUUACUUAGAUUUUCCUUUUUCUCACUGUUUUAUUGUCGAUUUGGGAUGAUACGAAUAUUUAGUAUAUAUUAAAGACGUCUCUAUUCAUUUGACCUCAUUUGACGUUUUAAACCUAUAUAAUGUACAUGAAUUUUAGGUACUAUUUUUUUUUGCGGAUGAAUACAGCUGUUCUGUAUUGUAUUCUGUUGUAGACUGUGAAAAUUUUGGAUCCAUGUGUCGACGCUUUAAAUCACAUGGAUCCAUUAAACCUUCUAACUGUUUAAUUCCAUUUUUUUCAUUGAAGAUUCUUAUAUUACAAAUCUUUCCUUACACUAGAAACGUAAUCACUGGAUAUGGUUAGAUGUAAACAGAAUCUGGAUCGCCAGUCCAAAGAUUAUUUGGAAGCCGUACUUUGUACCAAGUUACCUACAAAUGAAAAAUUAUUAAGACCUAGCACCACUGAUCCUAAAACUAUUCAGCAAACAUUGGAGGAUAAUAGAUUGCUUGCUAAAAAAACCCCCAAAAAACGAUCCAGGUUCAAAACAGUUAGAAUCUUUACAUCCUGGAGAUACAGUUAGAGUGAGAGUAGGAAAGCAUUGGAAACCAGCUGAACUCCUAGCACCAGAACAGCAACCCAGACAGCCAAGAUCUUAUAAUGUUCAAAUGGAAACUGGUAAUAUAUGGAGAUGUAGUAGACAUGAUUUGCUGAAGACUAAAGAAGAUGAUACAUACUGUCGACAACCAGAUGAUAUUACAUGUACACAUCUAGAGGGAUAUGAUACACCACAACAAAGAACCAAACUGUUGUAAAUCCUCGCCAAAAUACUAGUCCUUUGCAAAUUGACAAAUACCUUAUCCUCCUAAUCCAAAAUAUUCUCCACCCAGACCCCCAAAUUCUCAACCUUAUAAAACCAGGUCAGGUCAAGUAUCAUCAGUUAUGCCAAAACGUUUUAGAGAUUAUGAAACUUAGUAAACUUUAUUCAAUUCAAUUUUUUUUAUCAGUAUUAUGUUUUUAUUAUAUUUUUUUUUGUAAAAAAGGAAGAUGUUAUAUCCGUGCCAAUAUAAUAUAUUGUUCUUAUAAUAAAGUAGUCUUAGUUCUGGUCA